rnacentral:rRNA from 1 species
AUUAGCUUGCUAAUUUGAAGGAAAGCGGCGAACGGGUGAGUAACACGUUGGUAUCUGCCCCCAAGUCAGGGAUAGCCAUUGGAAACGAUGAUUAAUACCGGAUAGUCUCUUAGGAGUAAAAAUUUAUUGCUUGGGGAGGAGCCUGCGGUCUAUCAGCUAGUUGGUGAGGUAAAAGCUCACCAAGGCAAUGACGGAUAGCUGGUCUGAGAGGAUGAUCAGCCACAAUGGAACUGAGACACGGUCCAUACUUC